rnacentral:rRNA from 1 species
ACGCACGCUGGCGGCGUGCUUAACACCUGCAAGUCGAACGGAAAGGCCCUGCUUGCAGGGUACUCGAGUGGCGAACGGGUGAGUAACACGUGGGUGAUCUGCCCUGCACUUCGGGAUAAGCCUGGGAAACUGGGUCUAAUACCGGAUAGGAGCCAUUUUUAGUGUGAUGGUUGGAAAGUUUUUUCGGUGUAGGAUGAGCUCGCGGCCUAUCAGCUUGUUGGUGGGGUAAUGGCCUACCAAGGCGGCGACGGGUAGCCGGCCUGAGAGGGUGGACGGCCACAUUGGGACUGAGAUACGGCCCAGACUCCUACGGGAGGCAGCAGUGGGGAAUAUUGCACAAUGGGCGCAAGCCUGAUGCAGCGACGCCGCGUGGGGGAUGACGGCCUUCGGGUUGUAAACUCCUUUCGCUAGGGACGAAGCUUUUUGUGACGGUACCUAGAUAAGAAGCACCGGCUAACUACGUG